rnacentral:rRNA from 1 species
GUGUCAGCAGCCGCGGUAAUACGAACUGCGCGAACGUUAUUCGGAAUCACUGGGCUUACAGGGUGCGUAGGUGGCAUCGAAAGUAGGGUGUGAAAUGCCUUGGCUCAACCAAGGCACAGCGCUCUAAACUACUUUGCUUGAGUGAGUCAGGGGUGCACGGAACUUCCGGUGGAGCGGUGAAAUGUGUUGAUAUCGGAAGGAACACCGGCGGCGAAAGCGGUGCACUGGGGCUUAACUGACACUGAGGCACGAAAGCCAGGGGAGCGAACGGGAUUAGAAACCCCUGUAGUCC